CGGAGAAGGUGGCACCGUGGGGACAUCGCGUAACAGCAGGAAGCGGGCGAGGGGGACAGCGGCCAUCACCUCACCUCUGGCCACCCCCAGGGUCUCCCCGGCUCCGGCAAGCCCCCCRUCACCUUAACUCCGCCCACCAAAGCGGGACCCAAGCAGCGGAGCGACAGGGUGACAGCGGAGCCUUGUCCCCGCCGGGUCCCCGAGGGCGGGAGGAGUUGGGGACCCGGGUGGGGGGGUGUCGGGGUCACCUGACGCCUGUGGGCGGAGCCCUGGGAGGAAGGAGGUGGAGGAGACCGGGGGCAACUCGGCCUUGACUGGGUCGGGCUCAAACCACCUCCCAACGGUCAACGUCAACCCAACGGGAAGAGGCUGAUCCACCAAUGGGCAACCUCGGUGGGGAACAGGCCAAUCGGAGAACGCCUGGUUGAUCGGCACCCAGCCAAUCACCAACAGUCACUCCAGGUCUUCAGGGACCCAAGCGGGAAGAUGGAAACGCAACCAUAAGCCAAGUCUUGAAGGGGCCAAUCGGAAGAGGCCGAGCUCUGGGCCGAGCCAAUCACCACGGCCGAGCAAAGCCUGGAAGAACCCAACUAGGAGAGGUCGACCAAAGCCAAAACCAAUGCAGCCACCACCAGCCAAUCGCUGUCUUGAUUGAAGCAACCGAAGGCCAAACACCUCUCCACCAACCGGAAGAGGCCAAUCCAGGCCCGCCCCAAGGCGGCCACCAAUGGUCAAGCCUGGAUCCGGAUCAAGCCGCUCCCCAAUGGCCCAAUCCGGUCUCGACCAACUCAGCUCAGGUCUUAACAGGCCAAUCCGGCCACCAAUGGCCAACGCAGGUCUACAACAGGCCAAUGAGAAGGCACCAACCAAAGGCUGGUCCCAACGAACCAAUGGCAGUGAUGACCAACCUCACGUCUGGACCAGGCAACCACCAAUGGUCAACCCAGCUCUGCAACAGACCAAUGAGACGAGGCCAAGCCAAGCCUGGGCCAACCCAACUAACCAAUGGUCAACCAAGUCUUGACCGGCUCUAA
rnacentral:lncRNA from 1 species